AAUGUUUUAGGUUAAAUAAACCCUGGGCCUUCAAAGCCCAUAAUAAAGUCCGUUCUUUAAACAUUA
rnacentral:tRNA from 1 species